rnacentral:rRNA from 1 species
GACGAACGCUGGCGGCGUGCUUAACACAUGCAAGUCGAGCGGAAAGGCUCCUUCGGGGGUACUCGAGCGGCGAACGGGUGAGUAACACGUGAGUAAUCUGCCCUUGGCUUUGGGAUAACUACCGGAAACGGUGGCUAAUACCGGAUACGACCACUCCUUGCAUGAGGUGGUGGUGGAAAGUUUUUUCGGCCAGGGAUGUGCUCGCGGCCUAUCAGCUUGUUGGUGGGGUAAUGGCCUACCAAGGCUUCGACGGGUAGCCGGCCUGAGAGGGUGACCGGCCACACUGGGACUGAGACACGGGCCCAGACUCCUACGGGAGGCAGCAGUGGGGAAUAUUGGACAAUGGGCGAAGCCUGAUCCAGCAACGCCGCGUGAGGGAUGACGGCCUCGGUGUAA